UUUUUGCUGAGGUGGACAACUGAACAUUCCCCAGCUCGAGAAAUUUGCUUCUGCCACCUCCACCCCUUUAUAAGGGGGGAGUCACAGAGCUUUGGUCUCCAUAGCCCCUUUACACCUAUAUAUUAAGCAGCCACCUGUGGAGAAGAGAUUGAAUGUCUCUACCCUAAUUAAACGCUAAUAUGAGGAGGCCAGGAAAAUCCUGCACCGUCAGUUCUGUAACCCUCGCAGCCCCUGGAUAGGCGUUCUCUCUGUUCGGUACAGCUUUUCUUGUGGCAGCGUGUUUGUGGUGGUCAUCCAGCCACAGAGAGCUGCCUCUUCCUCUAGGCGUAAGAGCGCCUCCUUACAUCUGUUUUCACCAGGCUUAGAUCCCCAGCUGGCUUGUCUGUCUGAGUUGGAGGUGGAGGGCUUGAUAGCAGCUUCCCCCCUUGCCAAGACUCUAUGUGAGAUCAAGCAAGCUUUGGUGAAGCUGCAGCAGCCUUCAGACCUCAUUACUGCAGAGAAAUGUUUAAGUGACAGUUCCUCAGAAAAUACCGGAAGUACCCUGGUCCCCACAGAUCUGGCCAGUUUGUCCCCUUACCAGUUUAUAGUGUACCGCUUUGGCUGUGCAGUGCUUCGCCUGUUAAUCAGGACCUAUUCGUGCCCAGCUCUGGUACUUAAGCUGGCUCGGUCGGUUCCUGCCCGAAGUCCAGAUCAAGAUGUUCUCCCAGUCCUUAGAGACUCUCACUAUGACGCCAUCAACAGGUACCUGUAUAUACGUGCAACAAGGCUGGAGGAUGCCGGGGAAUUUAUUGCCAUCUUGCUGAGCGCUGUGGCGUGGAUCAAAGCAGGUAUGGCUGUGAUGAGUGUGUCCCCCAUGGGAACAGUAAUGCUGCUCUUCACACUGACUCAGAUCUUGCGUUGA
rnacentral:lncRNA from 1 species